GGGAGGGGGAAGAGAAGGAAAAGGAGAGAGAAGAAAGAUUAAAAAAAAAAAAAGGAAACAAUCUACCAGUAGUAGAGGAAUUAACAACAAAGAUUAGAUUAGAAGCAUUUCCAGCCCUUGCUCGUAUUGACAAGCUUCACUUGUGGUACAGGUGGGGUCAAAAUGACUUGAGGAAAAAAGCUCAGGGAAGGAAAAUCAAUUUGUAGUUAGUGAAAACAAAGACCGUUUGAGUGCUUGUUGCUCUGAAACUUACUUGGUACAAGAACCCACAUAUUACAUAAAUAUCAUUACUGGUGAAAGGAAAGAAGAAGCCGAAGUUUCUAAACAGAUGUAUGAAAAAGAACAUGAGGAAAGAGACACUCCCCAGCAAUUGUGGAAUCAGUGAGGAAAGAGGAAGGCUGUGGCUGGACAAUUUCACCUAUCUUUAGUGCAUUGAUAGAGAUAGAGGCCAAAACAGAGCACACCAGUCAUAUAUUUUUAGCAGCACUAUGACAAUGAUUUUACUGCAAUCACUGUUUCUGACGGAAGAGAGGUACUAAGUAUUAAAAUUGAUGACAUCUAGACUAAGUGCAAAGCUCUGACAAAUACAUCCCCAGAUCAGUAGAACCAUUAACAAGCACUUGGGCUUAGUGAAGAAUUUAAAUAUAUGCUUAACUGUAACUGUCCUUAAACUUGACAGGAACCCAGAUGACUUUGGUGCUAAUUUCAUGCAGACAACAUUCGUUUUUCUUGCAUAUAUACUGAGAUACAGAAUACUAAACCUUGUGGAAAAUUUAGAUAAGAACUCUUGCAGUGAUGAAGACGUAAUCUCUACAGCAAAAUUCUGUGAGUCUCUGCCAGCUGGCUGCCUGCCUUAACUUAAGGGAAUAGUAACAAAUGAAGCCCAAGCAAAUGGCCACCAUCUGGGUGAAGCUCAAGUGAGCUUGUUUGGACAACGCUCCAGGGUCAUGUGUCCCAUCCCCUGGCACAUAGGUUUUUUGCACACCAGAAGUAUAUUCCUUACCACAAAUGAAGGAAUCCUAAGGGAUUAUGUCCACUCUUCAUGUAUGCAAAACUGUUGCUGUCAGUGGCAUACUGGGGUUGGAAAGAAUGUUAGGUCUUUGUCAUUGUAGUAGAUAGAAAUGUCACAGCAGCUACUUGUACUUUGUGAACACCGUUGCAUAAUGCAUAGGAAAAAUUAACUAUCAAUGACAAUUCUGUGCCUUGGGGGGAAAAAAAUGAAACAAACCAGCAGGUGCUUCUUGCCAACCCUAGAUCUCUCAAAGCAGUUUUCUUCUGAAUGCCUUGACAUUGCACAAUAUAAUCUCUUUUAUUAUUUUAUUCUUAAUUUCUUUUUCUUCAGCAUUCUAGGUUUAGGAGCUAGAUACUAAAGAACAAAUGGCUCUUUUUACUUGAGAUGAACAACACACACACAAGUCUCCAUUCAAGCACUUAUUUGAGUAGACAUUAGAACAUUCCCUCUUACUGCUAGUUUUGAAGACAAGAUGAACCUGCUCAGCCAUUCAAGGUGUGUUAUCAUUUAUCUCAGCAGUAUUAACAGGAGAUUUCCCAUUAGACUCCAGGAUGCUGCUGCAUUGUGCAUUUCAUUUUGGAACAUUAAAACAUUCAAGAUAAUUUUUUUUCUGCUGUAAAACAAGCCCUUAUUCUGUUGGCACAUGAAUUAAUGACAUAAAGAAAGGAAAAUGAGCAAAUAAAAUAGAUUAAAUAGCUGAAAGAUGUCAUUUCGAUGCCAGUUAGCUCAGUGAAGGCAACUGACUGUAAAUGAUACCUUUUCUCUUGUACCUUUUGUAUAACUUACAUAUAUACAUUUUUUAUACAUAUAGAUGUAUAUAACUGCAAUGAUAUUCCUUACUUUCCCAGUUGUCCCUACUGCUAGAUAAGGAAAGUCUGUCUGACCCCACUGGAAAGACAACUGAAAUGUUUAGUGCCUUGAUAUCAAAAUUAGUGAGUCUCUCCAGGUGUAAGGAAAUGGUCAGCAUCUUAUUAUUCUCAGUUUCCAAGUUAAAUACUAAUACUCUAUGAAAGAGAAGCCUCCAUGCUUAAAUUUCUUUUUCACUACUUCUUUGCCGUUUUUCAUUUUCAUGUGCUGUGCUUUUGCAUUAAAAACUCAGUUUAGGGAUAAGUGUUUGCAUUUCAGGCUGCCUGACUAUUUUCUCUCUCUGCAUUCCACCCUCAAGUUCUAUUAAAAGCCAGCCAAACCACUCUCUAUUUUUGACAUUUUGGCUGCAGAACUAAAACAUCCAUUAAUUUCCUACCUGUAGUAACACUGACUCUGGAAAGUGAAGUUAGAACUGCAGGAAAAUAAGUUUAUUAAAUGUUAUUUCCAAAACAAUGCACCAGGAACAAAUUAUUAUUAUUAUACAUUCGCAUUAGAGUAAAUUAG